rnacentral:rRNA from 1 species
GAUGAAUGCUGGCGGCGUGCCUAACACAUGCAAGUCGAGCGGCAGCGAGGGGUGCUUGCACCCUGUCGGCGAGCGGCGAACGGCUGAGUAACGCGUAGGAAUUUGCCCCAAAGUGAGGAAUACCUGCCCGAAAGGGUAGCUAAUGCCGCUUAUGGUCUUCGGAUUAUAGGAUUUAUCCGCUUUGGGAGAAGCCUGCGUUGGAUUAGGUUGUUGGUAGGGUAAUGGCCUACCAAGCCGACGAUCCAUAGCUGGUCUGAGAGGAUGAUCAGCCAGACUGGAACUGAGACACGGUCCAGACUCCUACGGGAGGAAGCAGUGAGGAAUCUGCCACAAUGGGCGAAAGACUGAGGGAGCAACGCCGCGUGAAGGAUGAAGGCCUUCGGGUUGUAAACUUCUUUUAUGAGUGAAGAAUAUGACGGUAACUCAUGAAUAAGCACCGGCUAACUACGUG